CCGGGACGGUGCUGGUCGGCAGCCCUGGCUCAGGAGCCAUCCUCCGCCUGAAAUCAGCCUGCUCUCCUGGCUUCUGUGGGGACCGUUGCCAGUGGCGCUGCUCCCCCUGCUUGAGCACACGUGUCUCCAACCCGCUGACGGGCCAGUGCGACGGCCUCCUGAGCUGCGUGCGGCGAUUCAGCCCUUCGUGCCUUCACGGACUGGUGAAUUCCCGCUGCCCACCGCAUCCUGGCUGGUGGUUCUGGGACGGCCACUGCUAUUUUGUGGAGGAGCGCGGCAGCAAGGAUUGGCUGGGGGCCCAAGCCGCCUGCCAGGCUCAUGGCAAAGA